GUGAACCUGCGGAAGGAUCAUUACCGAGUUAGGGUCUUAUAGGCCCGACCUCCAACCCUUUGUUUACUAUACCAUGUUGCUUUGGCGGGCCCGCCUUUCAGGGCCGCCGGGGGCUUUCACGCUCCUGGUCAGUGCCCGCCAGUAGCCUUAUUAAAUUCUUUUAUAAUUAUGUUGUCUGAGUAUAAAUAUAAAUCGUUUAAAACUUUCAACAACGGAUCUCUUGGUUCUGGCAUCGAUGAAGAACGCAGCGAAAUGCGAUAAGUAAUGCGAAUUGCAGAAUUCAGUGAGUCAUCGAAUCUUUGAACGCAUAUUGCGCCCUUUGGUAUUCCGAAGGGCAUGCCUGUUCGAGCGUCAUUAUCAACCAUCAAGUCUGGCUUGUCGUUGGACCCCUUUGCGGCUGAAAUACGCGGCAGGUCCGAAAGAUAAUGACGGCGUCGUGUUUGACCCUAGAUGCAACGAGCUUUUUAAUAGCACGCAUUGAAGUGGUCGGCCGACCCGGUCUUUAACCAUCAUUUUCUAAGGUUGACCUCGGAUCAGGUAGGAAUACCCGCUGAACUUAAGCAUAUCAAUAAGCGGAGG
rnacentral:rRNA from 1 species